GUGAGUUGGUUUAUAUCAUUGCACCCACAUAACUUCACUUAUUUCAAUACAUCCCACACAGGAAGGGCUACAUUACAAAACUCAACUACAUUCACGGUUGGGGCCUUGACUGGACAAUGAAGAUGUCUUUGCCAACCGCACACCCUUCCACAUCCUGCGCACACCCAAACUUCUGUUCAAGAAAGAACCCGAUGGCACAGAGACGCUGACCAAGCUGUUUCCGAAACACCGAAUCGAUCGUCAACGGCUUUUUGCUAUAGUCGACAGUCAAUUUCAUUACCUCUCCAUCUGCAGGGCUUGCACUUAGAACCAACAUCUCCUCACUGAA
rnacentral:misc_RNA from 1 species